rnacentral:rRNA from 1 species
CCUACGGGUGGCUGCAGUGGGGAAUAUUGGACAAUGGGCGAAAGCCUGAUCCAGCCAUGCCGCGUGUGUGAAGAAGGCCUUCGGGUUGUAAAGCACUUUCAGUGGGGAAGAAAGCCUUGGGGCUAAUACCCUCGAGGAAGGACAUCACCCACAGAAGAAGCACCGGCUAACUCCGUGCCAGCAGCCGCGGUAAUACGGAGGGUGCGAGCGUUAAUCGGAAUUACUGGGCGUAAAGCGCACGUAGGCGGUCUGAUAAGCCGGUUGUGAAAGCCCCGGGCUCAACCUGGGAACGGCAUCCGGAACUGUCAGGAUAGAGUGCAGGAGAGGAAGGUAGAAUUCCCGGUGUAGCGGUGAAAUGCGUAGAGAUCGGGAGGAAUACCAGUGGCGAAGGCGGCCUUCUGGACUGACACUGACGCUGAGGUGCGAAAGCGUGGGUAGCAAACAGGAUUAGAUACCCUAGUAGUC